ensembl:lncRNA SLX1A-SULT1A3 SLX1A-SULT1A3 readthrough (NMD candidate)
GCAUCUCCGCGGCGGAACUCAGGGAAGGAGCUAGCUGGGGCGGGGGUGAUGAUCCAGGCUGGGUUCCAGCAUAGGGCUCUUGGUGGGCACGCUGGGGUCGGGUGGAAUGCAGGAGAGAGAGGAGGUGGGACAGGUGGGUACCUGGGCUGGAGGCAGGGCCUGAGGUGGGCAGGUGCAGAGGGCUGCACUUCUCGGCUGAAGCCGGGAAUGAGGACCCCGCUCUCGGGUGGGAUUGGAGGGGACCCGCGGCUGAGGCGCUGGGCUGCGACAGGGACAUCACCGUUCUCCUCCUCAGGGAGAUGGUGCUCGUCGUGCACGGCUUCCCGUCCUCCGUGGCCGCCCUUCGGGAUGAAGAGGGGCCCUUGUGUUGCCCCCACCCUGGCUGCCUGCUAAGGGCCCAUGUGAUCUGCCUGGCAGAGGAGUUUCUUCAGGAAGAACCAGGGCAGCUUCUGCCCCUAGAGGGCCAAUGCCCUUGCUGUGAGAAGUCACUGCUUUGGGGAGACCUGAUCUGGCUGUGCCAGAUGGACACUGAGAAAGAAGUAGAAGACUCAGAAUUAGAAGAGGAACAUGGAGCUGAUCCAGGACACCUCCCGCCCGCCACUGGAGUACGUGAAGGGGGUCCCGCUCAUCAAGUACUUUGCAGAGGCACUGGGGCCCCUGCAGAGCUUCCAAGCCCGACCUGAUGACCUGCUCAUCAACACCUACCCCAAGUCUGGCACCACCUGGGUGAGCCAGAUACUGGACAUGAUCUACCAGGGCGGCGACCUAGAGAAGUGUAACCGGGCUCCCAUCUACGUACGGGUGCCCUUCCUUGAGGUCAAUGAUCCAGGGGAACCCUCAGGUGGUCUAUGUUGCCCGAAACCCAAAGGACGUGGCGGUCUCCUACUACCAUUUCCACCGUAUGGAAAAGGCGCACCCUGAGCCUGGGACCUGGGACAGCUUCCUGGAAAAGUUCAUGGCUGGAGAAGGUGGGCUUGACUGGAGGAAGGAGGGUGUGAAGCCGAGGGGUGGUGGCUAUAACGUACAGCAACCCUGUGUCGGUGCCCCCUGCCCGCUUCUCUAGUGUCCUACGGGUCCUGGUACCAGCACGUGCAGGAGUGGUGGGAGCUGAGCCGCACCCACCCUGUUCUCUACCUCUUCUAUGAAGACAUGAAGGAGAACCCCAAAAGGGAGAUUCAAAAGAUCCUGGAGUUUGUGGGGCGCUCCCUGCCAGAGGAGACCAUGGACUUCAUGGUUCAGCACACGUCGUUCAAGGAGAUGAAGAAGAACCCUAUGACCAACUACACCACCGUCCCCCAGGAGCUCAUGGACCACAGCAUCUCCCCCUUCAUGAGGAAAGGCAUGGCUGGGGACUGGAAGACCACCUUCACCGUGGCGCAGAAUGAGCGCUUCGAUGCGGACUAUGCGGAGAAGAUGGCAGGCUGCAGCCUCAGCUUCCGCUCUGAGCUGUGAGAGGGGCUCCUGGAGUCACUGCAGAGGGAGUGUGCGAAUCUACCCUGACCAAUGGGCUCAAGAAUAAAGUAUGAUUUUUGAGUCAGGCACAGUGGCUCAUGUCUGCAAUCCCAGCGAUUUGGGAGGUUGAGCUGGUAGGAUCACAAUAGGCCACGAAUUUGAGACCAGCCUGGUAAAAUAGUGAGACCUCAUCUCUACAAAGAUGUAAAAAAAUUAGCCACAUGUGCUGGCACUUACCUGUAGUCCCAGCUACUUGGGAAGCAGAGGCUGGAGGAUCAUUUCAGCCCAGGAGGUUGUGGAUACAGUGAGUUAUGACAUGCCCAUUCACUACAGCCUGGAUGACAAGCAAGACCCUCCCUCCAAAGAAAAUAAAGCUCAAUUAAAAU